rnacentral:sRNA from 1 species
AUCACAGAUAGGAGUACCAAGUCCGAUGAGAAGUUCCUGGAAUGGGCGUAGAUUCAGCAGAUCUUGACAAGACCAUAUCUGCAGGGCAAGGUACCAGAGGACAGAGGCGGGGACAGGGACACUUCCAUUCCAGACCUAGCAGCCCAGCACUCAGCACCAUGCAUGGGAGCGAACGGCUGGACUCGUGGGUGGGGUGGGGGGUCUCAGGGCAGGCUCCCAGAGGGCUUGGAGGUGACUCCACCAGGUGGGGACGGCAGCUCUCAGGUAGGGUGUGAUCAGAGUAGACAGCAUUGCUUGCCAGGGACCCCUGGGGAGGCUGACAGGGUCAGUGGGUUUCAGUGGUGGUGGAUUUCAGUGGGGGGGGCUUCCCUGCUGAGAACCCAGUAAAGCCAGCCUUCCAUUCGUCUCCCGUGUGCCCAGAGCCUGGUCUGAGGGCCGCCCUGUUCAUGCUGGGCCUUCCAACGUGACAGAGCUCAGGGGGAAGAACACCCAGGCUCUCAGGAGACUCUGAGGCCAAUGUCUCUAUCCCUGGGUCAGCCCUUUCCUGCCAUGAAUUCAGGAAGGCAGAGGCAGCUCAGCAGAUGGGGACCAGAGGCCGCACUGCUAUCCACAGCCUCUCUUCUCACCCCCAGGCAUGUCGGGCCCCAGGCCUGUGGUGCUGAGCGGGCCUUCGGGAGCUGGGAAGAGCACCCUGCUGAAGAGGCUGUUCCAGGAGCACAGCGGCAUCUUUGGCUUCAGCGUGUCCCGUGAGUCCAGGGCUCUUGUGGAGGGGUGUGUAGACCUCAAGGCUUCUGAGUAGUCCUAGCACCGUGAGCAGGCCAGGAGCCCGAACCCAACAGGCACACCCACCCUGCAGACUGUCCGAACUCUUGCACACUCCCCCCAACACAGAACCGGAGGUUAUUGCACUCCUGCUGUCCUGCGUGCCUGUGUCUCCCUUCCCUGGGUCUGUUGAGUACUGAUAACUGGGCUGCAGCGUCUCUUUCUGGGAGAACCCUCACCUUGUAGGCUCCUGCGCCUUUCCAGCGGUGUGCUCCACUGGCUGCCUGCAUCCUGGGGCUCAAGUGCUGUCGGGACUGCAAGGGAAAUGCUGGGUAGGGCAGUGGGCUUCGAGCAGCCCCCAAUGGGUGACAGGUCUCUCUGCUAGAUACCACAAGGAACCCGAGGCCCGGCGAGGAGAACGGCAAAGGUGAGUGGGGUGGGGCCCUAUGGCUAGAGCACCCCCAGUAUGGGCGGGGCUGCUGGGCCCUGCAGCUGUGUUGGCUGUGCUGCCCGUCUCCUGCCCCUAUUGAUCCCUCAUCUGUGAGAUGGGUCCUUGCCUCCAAGGGCCGGUGAGCUCAAUCAGGGUGUCAGCGCCACAGCGUGGUGUCGCCUUCCUUGGGUACAGUGUGAGAGGCCGGCCAAGGCCUGGGGCUGUCUUCCUCCCACCCUGGAGGCGGCCAAAGUGCUGCCGUCCCCAGCCCUGUCCUGGACUUGGCACUUAUCAGCACUUUUGAGCUGUCUUCUGGGGUCCUGGUGAAAAGGGCUACUCUGCCUGCCUGAUUCAAGACAAGGGGACCCCCUUCCCAACAGCACCCCCGCCCCUUGCCGUGCAACCCAGUGGUCUCCAGUCACCCCACCACAUCGUCCCCUCUGUAACCUGACGGUCUCCAGUUCCCCCACCACCUUCCCCCAGAACCUGUUGGUCUCCAGUCCCCACCCCAUCACCACCAACUCCCAACUCCCCGCUGGAACCCAGCAGUCUCGUAUCUCCAUCAGUGAGGUCAGUGUGAGAAAUGGUGUCUGACUCAGGCACUUGGCAGCACUUGAGGGGUCCUCAGACGUCUCCUGCCCGGCAAGGAUCUGACAGAAGCAGUCGUGGGCGUGGGAGGGGCCUGUAGGCAUGCCUGGGUUGGGGGCGGCUGGCCCUGAUGCCCUGGUGCAGGUCCAGUCUGCCCUCUGGACGGCCCCUCCUCUUCCCCAGAUUACUACUUUGUAACCAGGGAGGUGAUGCAGCGUGACAUAGCAGCCGGCGACUUCAUCGAGCAUGCCGAGUUCUCGGGGAACCUGUAUGGCACGAGCAAGGCGGCGGUGCAGGCCGUGCAGGCCAUGAACCGCAUCUGCGUGCUGGACGUGGACCUGCAGGGUGUGCGGAACAUCAAGGCCACCGAUCUGCGGCCCAUCUACAUCUCUGUGCAGCCGCCUUCACUGCAUGUGCUGGUGUGUGCUGGGCAGGGUUGGGGGCUGGGGGCCAGGGCAUGCCAGGCUCUGAUUGCCACCCCCUUUUUAGGAGCAGCGGCUGCGGCGGCGCAACACUGAAACGGAGGAGAGCCUGGCGAAGCGGCUGGCUGCUGCCCAGGCCGACAUGGAGAGCAGAAAUCAAGAAAGCUCAAAGGACCGGCGCCUGAGGCUUGCUCUCUGUUCUCGGCACCCCGGGCCCAUACAGGACCAGGGCAGCAGCACUGAGCCGCCCCCUUGGCAGGCAAUAUGGCAGCUCUGUGCCCUUGGCCAGCAUGUGGAGUGGAGGGGAUGCUGCCCCUGUGGUUGGAACAUCCUGGGGUGACCCCCGACCCAGCCCCACCGGGCUGUCCCCUGUCCCUAUCUCUCACUCUGGACCCAGGGCUGACAUCUUAAUAAAAUAACUGUUGGAUUAGAAA